rnacentral:lncRNA from 1 species
GUGGGCCCACCACUCUUCGACAAGUCGCAACAACGGACACCACUACUCUUUGUAACAAACUCCAUGUGGGCCCACCACUCUCUGGCAAGUCGCGACAACGGAUACCACUACUCUCCGUAACAAACUCUACGUGGCUCCGAAUGGCCCACUAUCAGGCAGUUACGGACGUCGCUGUCUAUCGGUUACGCUCUCCCAUCUAUAAAAGAGACCCCCC